AGAUAUGAUGAUAGCGUUUUGCACGUCAGUCUAACUUGCUUCUGUUGAUGCAAUAUGGUGAUUUGAUCGACUAUCUGAUCU